ACUUUUAUAGGAUAACAGUAAUCCGUUGGUCUUAGGAAUCAAAAACUUGGUGCAACUCCAAAUAAAAGUA
rnacentral:tRNA from 1 species